rnacentral:rRNA from 1 species
UACGGAGGAUGCGAGCGUUAUCCGGAUUUAUUGGGUUUAAAGGGUGCGUAGGCGGGAUGCCAAGUCAGCGGUAAAAAUGCGGUGCUCAACGCCGUCGAGCCGUUGAAACUGGCGUUCUUGAGUGGGCGAGAAGUAUGCGGAAUGCGUGGUGUAGCGGUGAAAUGCAUAGAUAUCACGCAGAACUCCGAUUGCGAAGGCAGCAUACCGGCGCCCUACUGACGCUGAGACACGAAAGCGUGGGUAUCGAACAGG